AUUGAACGCUGGCGGCAGGCCUAACACAUGCAAGUCGAACGAGUGGCGGACGGGUGAGUAAUGUCUGGGAAACUGCCUGAUGGAGGGGGAUAAGUACUGGAAACGGUAGCUAAUACCGCAUACCAUCAUAUGUGCCCAGAUGGGAUUAGCGAGUGGGUGGGGUAACGGCUCACCAAGGCGACGAUCCCUAGCUGGUCUGAGAGGAUGACCGGCCACACUGGAACGGAGACACGGUCCAGACUCCUACGGGAGGCAGCAGUGGGGAAUAUUGGGCAAUGGGCGAAAGCCUGAUGGAGCCAUGCCGCGUGUAUGAAGAAGGCUUUCGGGUUGUAAAGUACUUUCAGCGGGGAGGCGUUACCCGAAGAAGAAGCCCCGGCUAACUCCGUGCCAGCCGCCGCGGUAAUAC
rnacentral:rRNA from 1 species